rnacentral:lncRNA from 1 species
GGAGGAGUAAUUUCAGGUUCUGGAAAGAAAUGACAGCAUCAGUUUCCUUUCCCCAUUGGUAAACUUUUAUUUCAUCUAGAAACUUUGUUGUUGAACUUUUACUUUGAAAGGACUAGCAGGCGAAAUGGGCUUUGAGGCUUUUAGAAAGGAGCACAGUAUUUAGGACCUCGUCUGAGCCAGAUCUGCCCAUUAUAUAAAAUCACUUUUCUGCCACGACAGAGCUUUUUCACAUCUGUUUAUACUUAGUCUCUCUUACCCAGAGUGGAAAGAUUUAUGUAAAAGGAGAAAAGAACUCUGAAUGUAUGUCUCGCAUCAGUGAAAGCGGGGCCUCCGGCUUAACAUCCAUUUGAAGUACGUAGCUACUGUCUAAUCAUUUCAGUUAUUGUAGAAGUAGCCAAAUGAAGCUAUGUCCCUGGAAAUUAGAGAUGAAGAUGUGGGGAAAACCUACAGGUCUAAGAAGGCUUGACAAGAUCAUCAACAUUAGGGAGCGUGUGAAGGGUCUGCCAUAGACAUUUGGAAUGCAGGCAAAGGUUUCAUUUAAAAUGUCUCAAUGAUUCGUGACAUACUGCACCUGGAUCUGUAUAAUAAUAAAUGUCUAUCAUGGUUCCUCAAUAGUUUCUCUUCGUUUUAUUUUCUAAGUUAGUUGCAGUUUUUCCUUCUCUUAAGUGCAGACGAAAGCCAUAGGAACCCGUCUAAAGACGUAUUUAGGGCACACACACACACACACACACACACACUAUAUCUAGAUAGAUAGAUAGAUAGAUAGAUAGAUAGAUAGAUAGAUAGAUAGAUAGAUAGAUAGAUAGAUAGAUUAGAUAGAUAUAAAGUGGAAAUAGAAGUUCCAAGUCCACUGUGAGGAGCCAGGGAUGGCACUGUUCCAUGUAAGUGUUCCCUGGAGACAUUUGAUCUCUACAGUUGUCUGGCCUGGCCCUCUUAGACUGCACUGUCCAAUAAAACUAUUGUAGAACUGUUUAAAUCCAAUUUGAAAUUUCAAAUAGCC